rnacentral:rRNA from 1 species
UACGGCUCAGUAACACGUGGACAAUCUAACCUAUGGAGGGGGAUAACCCCGGGAAACUGGGGAUAAUACCCCAUAGACUAUGGAUGCUGGAAUGCUCUGUAGUUGAAAGGUCCGCCGCCAUAGGAUGGGUCUGCGGCCGAUUAGGUUGUUGUUGGGGUAACGGCCCAACAAGCCUGUAAUCGGUACGGGUUGUGGGAGCAAGAGCCCGGAGAUGGAUUCUGAGACACGAAUCCAGGCCCUACGGGGCGCAGCAGGCGCGAAAACUUUACAAUGCGGGAAACCGUGAUAAGGGAACUCCGAGUGCCCGUAAAAUCGGGCUGUCCAUCUGUUUAAAUAACAGGUGAAGAAAGGGCCGGGCAAGACCGGUGCCAGCCGCCGCGGUAAUACCGGCGGCUCGAGUGGUGCCACUAUUACUGGGCUUAAAGCGUUCGUAGCUGGUUUGUUAAGUCUCUGGGGAAAUCUUCCGGCUUAACCGGAAGGCGUCUCAGGGAUACUGGCAGACUAGGGACCGGGAGAGGUGAGGGGUACUCCAGGGGUAGGAGUGAAAUCCUGUAAUCCUUGGGGGACCACCUGUGGCGAAGGCGCCUCACCAGAACGGCUCCGACAGUGAGGGACGAAAGCUGGGGGAGCAAACCGGAUUAGAUACCCGGGUAGUCCCAGCCGUAAACGAUGCGCGUUAGGUGUAUCGGUGACCACGAGUCACCGAGGUGCCGAAGAGAAAUCGUGAAACGUGCCGCCUGGGAAGUACGGUCGCAAGGCUGAAACUUAAAGGAAUUGGCGGGGGAG